GCCAGUGAUGAUAGUUUUAAUAUGGUUGACAGAAAUGCAAAUUUUAAUUUGCAGUUUGUUAGAAAAUCAUGAACUAGGACGGUCUGAGGC